UUAAAAAAUAAACCCAAAACCCUAGAGGUCCGCUCUUCGUCACUCGAAAGCCAACUCUACUCCCCCGCUCCAAACUCCAUUUCAAAAACCCUGGUCUCUCUUCCUUAAAACAAACCCUAACCUUGUUGAGCUCCAGAAAUCGCAACAAUGUCGAUGUCCAAGAGCUCCAAGAUGCUGCAGUUCAUCAACUACAGGAUGCGCGUCACAAUCCAGGACGGGCGCCAGCUGGUUGGGAAAUUCAUGGCCUUCGAUCGCCACAUGAACCUCGUCCUCGGCGACUGUGAGGAGUUCCGGAAGCUUCCUCCUGCCAAGGGCAAGAAAAACAACGAGGAGCGCGAGGACCGCCGGACUCUUGGCCUCGUCCUUCUCCGCGGCGAGGAGGUCAUUUCUAUGACCGUCGAGGGACCUCCGCCUCCCGAAGAGUCACGAGCCAAAGCCGUCUCCGGUACCGCACUCGCCGGUCCCGGAAUGGGCCGGGCAGCUGGCCGUGGUAUUCCGACCGCUCCUCUUGUUCAGGCUCAGCCCGGUCUGGCUGGACCGGUUCGCGGAGUCGGUGGCCCUGCUCCCGGUAUGAUGCAACCACAGAUCUCGCGUCCUCCGAUCCCGCAGCUCUCUGCCCCGCCUAUGACUUAUCCGCCUUCUGCAGCCGGCGGGCCGCCGGUUCUUCGACCACCUGGUCAGAUUCCUCCUCCUGCAUAUCCUGGACAAGGUCCACCUCCGAUGGUUCGGGGUCCACCCCCUCAGGUUCCACCUCCAUCAUUUGGUGUCAGGCCACCGCAACAGUUCCCUGUGCCUCCACCGCAGUUCGGGCAGAGGCCGAUGGUUCCGCCGCCUGCUCCAAUGAUGAGGGGACCUCCGGCCCCACCACAGAGGCCCGGGAUGCCUGCACCACCCCCACCUCGUCCAGGGAUGCCUCCUCCGCCUGGUGGAGUUCCUGUUUUUGCUCCACCACGCCCUGGUAUGCCACCUCCACCAAACCCUCAGAACCAGCAGAACCAGCAGCAGUAGUGUUAGGAAUGGAGACAAUCGGCAGUGGUUCUUGUAGCUUCUUAAAAGCUGUAUAUCUCCAUUUAUGGUUGUGUAAGCAGGCGUUCAACAAGCUGAUACCCUGAAGGUUUUUCUAGUUAGUGUCGUUUCUGCCUGCCGCAAUCAUCCUGCUUCCAGUUUUGGUGUGGGUGAGGGAUACUCCUUUGUAUGAAGGGCUUUCUUGAUGUUACAACAGCAAAUCUUGUUUUUUCCGGAUAUCGCCAUCUGUCUGACCAAAAUGGAGCUGUAUUGAUGCAAUGUUGAAUAUUCUCAGUUUCAUGGAUAUAUGUAGGAUAUUUUGACCUCUCACUCUCUCUGGUUUGCUCUAGGAUAUUGUUGCUCUCUCUCUCGCUCUCUCUCUCUCUUGUGCGUGCCCGUGCCCGUGCUCGCACAUGGUGUUAAUCUUGCAUUAUAAUUGUUGUAUACCAAGUCUUCUCUAUUUACUAUAAUUGACCUUUUUUCUAUUUCUUUGGCGGACAACAUGUAUUAUUAAACAAAGCAUUAAGGGUUGAGAUGGUUGAAGAAA